rnacentral:rRNA from 1 species
UACGUAGGUGGCAAGCGUUGUCCGGAUUUAUUGGGUUUAAAGGGUGCGUAGGCGGUCUUAUAAGUCAGUGCUGAAAUAUCCCGGCUUAACCGGGAGGGUGGCAUUGGUACUGUAGGACUUGAGUAAAGUUGAGGUUGGCGGAAUUGACGGUGUAACGGUGAAAUGCUUAGAUAUCGUCAAGAACACCGAUAGCGAAGGCAGCUUACUGGGCUGUAACUGACGCUGAUGCACGAAAGUGUGGGGAUCAAACAGG